rnacentral:rRNA from 1 species
AUUGAACGCUGGCGGCAGGCCUAACACAUGCAAGUCGGACGAGUGGCGGACGGGUGAGUAAUGUAUGGGAAACUGCCUGAUGGAGGGGGAUAACUACUGGAAACGGUAGCUAAUACCGCAUACCAUCGGAUGAGCCCAGAUGGGAUUAGCUGGUAGGUGGGGUAAUGGCUCACCUAGGCGACGAUCCCUAGCUGGUCUGAGAGGAUGACCAGCCACACUGGAACUGAGACACUGUCCAGACUCCUACGGGAGGCAGCAGUGGGGAAUAUUGCACAAUGGGCGCAAGCCUGAUGCAGCCAUGCCGCGUGUAUGAAGAAGGCCUUCGGGUUGUAAAGUACUUUCAGCGGGGAGGCGUUACUCGCAGAAGAAGCACCGGCUAACUCCGUGCCAGCAGCCGCGGUAAUAC